AGGAUGAACGCUAGCUACAGGCUAACACAUGCAAGUCGAGGGUAGCAGGUAGCAAUACCGCUGACGACGGCGCACGGGUGAGUAACACGUAUCCAACCUUCCCACAACUCAGGAAUAGCCUUUCGAAAGAAAGAUUAAUACCUGAUGGUACUUAUAUAAGGCAUCUUAAAUAAGUUAAAGAUUUAUUGGUUGUGGAUGGGGAUGCGUUCCAUUAGAUAGUUGGUGAGGUAACGGCUCACCAAGUCUUCGAUGGAUAGGGGUUCUGAGAGGAAGGUCCCCACAUUGGUACUGAGACACGGACCAAACUCCUACGGGAGGCAGCAGUGAGGAAUAUUGGUCAAUGGGCGAGAGCCUGAACCAGCCAAGUAGCGUGAAGGAUGAAGGUCCUAUGGAUUGUAAACUUCUUUUAUAGUAGAAUAAAGUGAGCCACGUGUGGUUUUUGUAUGUAUACUAUGAAUAAGGAUCGGCUAACUCCGUGCCAGCAGCAGC
rnacentral:rRNA from 1 species